UUGAGCAGGGUUAAAGUUAGAUUUGAGCAGAGUUAAAGUUAGAUUUGAGCAGGGUUAAUGUUAGAUUUGAGCAGGGUUAAUGUUAAAUUUGAGCAGGAUUAAAGUUAGAUUUGAGCAGGAUUAAAGUUAGAUUUGAGCAGGGUUAAAGUUAUAUUUGAGCAGGGUUAAUGUUAGAUUUGAGCAGGGUUAAUGUUAGAUUUGAGCAGGGUUAAAGUAUAUCUCACAGGCCAUCAGUUGUGAUUGUACUGUGUGUUUCUGUUUGACAGCUCUGUGUGUUGUGGAGUCAGCUGGCAUUAAUGUGAAGGAUGUGGUGGGAGGACAAGUCGUGUUCGGCUGCUCAUUCACUUUGACAGGGAACAACAACAAAUACUUCUGCAAGGGGACAUGUUCUGGUAGAGACAUUCUGGUUGAAACUAAGAGGAGCAAGACUGUAUCUCAAGGUAGAUACAGUAUAGAAGACAACAGAGAUGGAGUCUUCUAUGUGACCAUCAAGAACCUGAUGAAGUCAGACUCAGGGACCUACUGGUGUGGAGUGGAACGAACUAUAAAGGACACAUUCCAAGAGGUGAAUCUCACAGUUACAGAUGGUAAGAUAACACUCCAGAUGAAUUGUUAUCUAGUAAUUCACUUCCUGACUUAUUUCCUGACAUGAAGUUGUUUCAGUAUUGGUGUUUAUCUGUACUUUCUAUUGACUCACAGCUCCUCCCACUUCUAAAACCUCAACUGUCACCUCCCGACGCCAUGUCUCCACAACUCUUCCAAACCUCUCUACAGCAUCCCCAAACACCUCCUCAACCCUCCCAAACCACGUCAGUGGUCGUCUAUCAAGAGAUGUUACUCCAGUGGUCAUCAUGGUGUGUGUGAGUCUGACUGUGUUGGUGGUGGGACUCAUUCUGCUACUGAUCUACAAAUGGAGGAGAAACAGGAAAUCAUCAAGGCCAGUCACCAAUCCAGACACAACAACCCAAGACCCCAGCUACCAAACCCUCAACACAACAACCCAAGACCCCACCUACCAAACCCUCAACACAGCAACCCAAGACUCCACCUACCAAACCCUCAACACAACAACCCAAGA